rnacentral:rRNA from 1 species
UACGUAGGGGGCAAGCGUUGUCCGGAUUUAUUGGGCGUAAAGAGCGUGUAGGCGGCCAGACAGGUCUGCUGUGAAAACUCGAGGCUCAACCUCGAGACGCCGGUGGAAACCGUCUGGCUAGAGUCCGGAAGAGGAGAGUGGAAUUCCUGGUGUAGCGGUGAAAUGCGCAGAUAUCAGGAGGAACACCGAUGGCGAAGGCAGGUCUCUGGGCAUUAACUGACGCUGAGGAGCGAAAGCAUGGGGAGCGAACAGG